rnacentral:rRNA from 1 species
AGAGUUUGAUCCUGGCUCAGGACGAACGCUGGCGGCGUGCUUAACACAUGCAAGUCGAACGAUGAUCCGGUGCUUGCACCGGGGAUUAGUGGCGAACGGGUGAGUAACACGUGAGUAACCUGCCCUUGACUCUGGGAUAAGCCUGGGAAACCGGGUCUAAUACCGGAUAUGACCUGUCACCGCAUGGUGGCGGGUGGAAAGAUUUUUUGGUUUUGGAUGGACUCGCGGCCUAUCAGCUUGUUGGUGGGGUAAUGGCCUACCAAGGCGACGACGGGUAGCCGGCCUGAGAGGGUGACCGGCCACACUGGGACUGAGACACGGCCCAGACUCCUACGGGAGGCAGCAGUGGGGAAUAUUGCACAAUGGGCGCAAGCCUGAUGCAGCGACGCCGCGUGAGGGAUGACGGCCUUCGGGUUGUAAACCUCUUUCAGCAGGGAAGAAGCGAAAGUGACGGUACCUGCAGAAGAAGCGCCGGCUAACUACGUGCCAGCAGCCGCGGUAAUACGUAGGGCGCAAGCGUUGUCCGGAAUUAUUGGGCGUAAAGAGCUCGUAGGCGGUUUGUCGCGUCUGCUGUGAAAGCCCGGGGCUCAACCCCGGGUCUGCAGUGGGUACGGGCAGACUUGAGUGCAGUAGGGGAGACUGGAACUCCUGGUGUAGCGGUGAAAUGCGCAGAUAUCAGGAGGAACACCGAUGGCGAAGGCAGAUCUCUGGGCUGUAACUGACGCUGAGGAGCGAAAGCAUGGGGAGCGAACAGGAUUAGAUACCCUGGUAGUCCAUGCCGUAAACGUUGGGCACUAGGUGUGGGG